AUUUUUUUAAUAUAAUCAGUAUAUCUGACUUCCAAUCAGAAUGUCUAGCUUCUAGAAAAAAUA
rnacentral:tRNA from 1 species